rnacentral:lncRNA from 1 species
AGAGAUUUAUACUGGUUCACCCAAUCAAGGGCUAGUCCAGUCCCGACCAACUGCCGGAAUUCACUCACCUAAAGGUAAUGGCAAAACCUUAGAGUAUCAAGGAAACUCUUAAGAACCUCUCUAAGCUUUAAGGCUACUUCGCUUAGGAACCAGUCUUUUACGGGUAGACUCACACCUUAGAGUAUCAAGGGCACUCUUAAGAACCUCUAACUUUUGCGGGUAAGUUAGUACCUUAGAGUAUCAAGGAACUCUUAAAAACCUCUCUAAGCUUUAAGGCUACUUUGUUUAGGAACCAGUCUUUUACGGGUAGACUCACACCUUAGAGUAUCAAGGGCACUCUUAAGAACCUCUAACUUUUACGGGUAAGUUAGUACCUUAGAGUAUCAAGGACCUCUUAAAACCCUCUCUAAGCUUUAAGGCUACUUCGCUUAGGAACCAGUCUUUUACGGGUAGACUCACACCUUAGAGUAUCAAGGGCACUCUUAAGAACCUCUAACUUUUACGGGUAAGUUAGUACCUUAGAGUAUCAAGGAACUCUUAAAAACCUCUGAAAUCUUUAAAGGUAGACUCGACCUAAGAGUUUUCCCGAAAACUCUAUAAAACCAAACUAGAGCUUUAUGGUUGAGCUCAAAAACCUUCUCUCACACUUUGGUACUAUUGAGACAACCCUCUCAACCAAAGUGGACACACACAAGAGGAGAUUAGAGGAGUGGAAUAUUAAAGCAAACAACACUUCUUACUUGUAAAGAUGAACAAGAAGAUUAAAAGAAGAAGUUGGAGAGCUUUUGAAGCUUUGGAAAGCUAGGACACUUGAGCACUUGAAAGCUUGGAAGCUUGGAGGCAAAAACGUGUGGGCAAGUGUGGAGUGAAAGCUCUUGAGUUUGCUUGUAGUGUGGUGAGUGAAAAUGAGGGGUUUACCCUUCUAUUUAUAGCCUUGGCCACUCAAUGUCCACCCUUGGAUCUUCAAUGGAUGGCUCCUUGAUUUCUCAC